AAGGUUGUAUUUAUUUAAGGUUUUCUCGUUCAAGGUGUGUUCAAGGUUACAUAGGUAGCCGGUCGCAGAGUUGUGGAUUCAGACCAAAGCAGACUGACUCUGUGUUCCUCCCUGUCUUCCUUGAGGACUCUGUCUUUAUCUCCAUAGAGACAGAGGUAGUCCUGCCGUCACAGUGGCCAUUAUGACAUGUAGGCCUUCAGGCAUUGCUUUAGAAACUGGUCCACUCAUAAUUUACCCCAGAACUCUUUUACUCCAUGAAGAUGCAGUUAGCGUCCCUAGGAGGCAGCAACAUGAUAGAGUGGGGUUCCAGUCUUACCCACCAACCCCCAGUACCAUCUGACCCAUCCCGUCUGUGCUCUCUUAUGUGAUUACGUAUAUUCCAGGUGGAGCCAAAUCUCUCUUUAGUGUCUUGUCUUCCACAAUAUACAUAAAACAGUGAUCUGAAAGUCAACCAAAUGCUGUCUUUCAAAAGGCCCUCUGAACAGACACAACAUUGCACGGUGCUAAAGAGGAAGAGUUUAGAUGUUUUAAGCAGAGAGAGCCAGAGAGCAAGACAGAGUCAGGGAUAGAGAAAGAGAGAGAUGGGUGACAGAGUGGGACACUCUCCUUUGAAAGUCAGCUGGAAUAUAGACGCCAGGUGUCUAUAUCCCAAGGGACUUGGGAGCCACCCAGGAGAACCAUUGACCUGAGGGCAGAAGGAACCAGGCGAGAUGCUUGUCAGUAACAAAAUUUGGUCACAAGUUGGGAAGAUGAAAUGACCAUUGUGAGUAUGGCCUGGUACAUUCAGGAGGCUGUGAGUAGAAAUUUAAAGAAGUCUUCAUAUAGUCUGCAACACUAUAGCAUAAGCAACACUGCUUGAUUGGUCACUCGUAGAGACAGAAAAAAGGCAUUCUUCCUCAUUUCUCUAUUUCCCGGGCAUUUAGCAUUCCUGAGUUCAUUGUGUUCCCCUGACCAAAGUAGUCGGUUCAUGGAUGACCACACAAUGCAACUGGAGCCAUUACUUGGUCUUUUGUAAAAGCAACUGGUAGGGAGGGGAGCUUAUGACCUCAGGGAUUUAAAUCUGGGAGAAGAUAGCCUUUUACUGCUGUGGCCCUCUUUUCAUCACAGGGCAUCUGCAAAUGAAGCCAUUGUGAAGGACGGCAGACCUGAGAGAGACCUCAUUUGAGCCUCUGGAUUAAUAUCCCUCCUUGCGUCAACCAGUCUGAUGUGGAUUUUCUGACCUUUGCUACCAAAGUGUUCACAGUGGGGCCGAUAGUGAUGGAUUGGGUCAUUUUUUAAGCUAGAUUUCGCAGGGAAAACCUCUCUAAGCAUCUGGAAGUCUGUGGAUCAAGGUGCUAAUAGCGUACCAUUUCCCAGGGAUGGGGUUAGAGGUGAAUAUUUUUUAAAGAAACAAUUAUUUCUUUGUUAAUAGGAAAAUAUUAUAUCUACAAUUUCAGCUUUUCCUAAAAUUGUGAGACAGUCAACUGAUCACACUGCUUCUUUGUCUCCAGCCACUCAGUAUUUGAGGUGUGGCAUUUGCUCCUGUAAACUCCCAGGGCUAAGUUGUGCGAGAGCUCACAGAUGUGUUUUGCACUUAUGCACACUUCAUUUGUCUUCCUCCUAUGAGGAGUUGUUGGCUUACUGUGGGAACAGCUGAAUCCUCUCUCGAGCCAUAGUCCUGAGGUUCCUUUGCGUUCCAUGAUCUUCUGUUUUUGCCUUUUCCCGAUGAAACCAUGAAUCACUGGAGAGCUACUUAGAAGAAUUGUGGAAGUGUGUACCUUCUAAAGCUGCACCUCUUCUGCUUUGUGUCAUACAUCCUACAUAUCCAGAAGUGGUCCCUACAUCCAGUGACAAGUUUCUUAUAAGACACAAACGAGAAGACACAGGACAGAAGGCCAUGUGACAACAGAGGCAGAGACUGGAACGAUGGGGCCACAAGCCAAAGAACACCUGGAGCCACCAGAAGGCAGAAAAAACAGGGAGGAUUUUCCCCUGGAGAUGGCAGAGGGAGCAGAGCCCUGCUGACCCCUUGAUUUCAUACUUCUGGCCUCCAAAGCUCUGAGAGGAUAAACUGUUUUAAGCACUCCU